rnacentral:rRNA from 1 species
CAAUAGCGUAUAUUAAAGUUGUUGCGGUUAAAAAGCUCGUAGUUGGAUUUCUGUUGGGAACGACCGGUCCGCCCAUUGGGUGUGUAUCUGGCUUGUUCUCGGCAUCUUCUUGGUGAACGUUGCUGCACUUGACUGUGUGGAGCGCUACCCAGGACUUUUACUUUGAGGAAAUUAGAGUGUUUCAAGCAGGCAUAUGCCUUGAAUACAUUAGCAUGGAAUAAUAAGAUAGGACCUCGGUUCUAUUUUGUUGGUUUCUAGAGCUGAGGUAAUGAUUAAUAGGGAUAGUUGGGGGCAUUCGUAUUUAACUGUCAGAGGUGAAAUUCUUGGAUUUGUUAAAGACGGACUCCUGCGAAAGCAUUUGCCAAGGAUGUUUUCAUUGA